GACGAACGCUGGCGGCGUGCUUAACACAUGCAAGUCGAGCGGUAAGGCCCUUUCGGGGGUACGACGAGCGGCGAACGGGUGAGUAACACGUGGGUGACCUGCCCUCAGCUCUGGGAUAAGCCUGGGAAACCGGGGUCUAAUACCGGAUAUGACUCCAUGACGCAUGUUGUGGGGUGGAAAGCCUUGUGCGGCUGAGGAUGGGCCCGCGGCCUAUCAGCUUGUUGGUGGGGUGAUGGCCUACCAAGGCGACGACGGGUAGCCGGCCUGAGAGGGCGACCGGCCACACUGGGACUGAGACACGGCCCAGACUCCUACGGGAGGCAGC
rnacentral:rRNA from 1 species